UAAAUCUGAGUAGUCAAAUUCACAUUGAAAAGGCAUGCUCCGAAUUAAUAUUGAACUGGCAUCACUUUAUAUAGAUUUCACAAAUUCAACCGUUCAUCACAAGAUGGUUGGCUAGGUUCAGAAAAGCCCAAAAGUAAAUCAUGGAAAAGUGCUAAUCCCAGAACUCCAAAGCUUCAAGAAUACGGGCCACAUCUGCUCCGCCUGACUUGCGCUUUUGGGCUUG
rnacentral:lncRNA from 1 species